GCGCCCAUAGCUCAGCUGGAUAGAGUACCUGGCUUCGAACCAGGUGGUCGGGGGUUCGAGUCCCUCUGGGCGCGCCA
rnacentral:tRNA from 1 species